AGUGAACGCUGGCGGUAGGCCUAACACAUGCAAGUCGAACGGCAGCACAGUAAGAGCUUGCUCUUACGGGUGGCGAGUGGCGGACGGGUGAGGAAUACAUCGGAAUCUACUUUUUCGUGGGGGAUAACGUAGGGAAACUUACGCUAAUACCGCAUACGACCUACGGGUGAAAGCAGGGGAUCUUCGGACCUUGCGCGAUUGAAUGAGCCGAUGUCGGAUUAGCUAGUUGGCGGGGUAAAGGCCCAUCAAGGCGACGAUCCGUAGCUGGUCUGAGAGGAUGAUCAGCCACACUGGAGCUGAGACACGGUCCAGACUCCUACGGGAGGCAGCAGUGGGGAAUAUUGGACAAUGGGCGCAAGCCUGAUCCAGCCAUACCGCGUGGGUGAAGAAGGCCUUCGGGUUGUAAAGCCCUUUUGUUGGGAAAGAAAAGCAGCAGGUUAAUACCCCGCUGUUCUGACGGUACCCAAAGAAUAAGCACCGGCUAACUUCGUG
rnacentral:rRNA from 1 species